rnacentral:misc_RNA from 1 species
UUUCCGUAGGUGAACCUGCGGAAGGAUCAUUACCGAAUUGUUAAUCGGGUUGUUCCUUGUGUUCAAACGGUGACAUGUUCACGCUCGCUCUACACAUCCACACACACCCGUGCACCCUCCUUAUUUCUAUAGACUGGCGGACCCUCUCAACCUGCAGCAACGCUACGUCUGGAUACACCCUCUGUAAUAAACUCUGAUGGAAUGUAUACCACGCCUCACGCAAUACAUAACAGCUUUCAGCAACGGAUCCCUUGGUUCUCGCAACGACGAAGACCGCAC